AGGUGUGACCAUACCAGCACUAGUGCACCAGAUCCCAUCAGAACUUCACAGUUAAGCGUGCUUGGGCGAGAGUAGUAUUGGGAUGGGUGACCUCCUGGUAAGUCCUCGUGUUGCACCCU